CUUAGGACGAACGCUGGCGGCGUGCCUAAUACAUGCAAGUCGAACGGUACUUUUCGUAUGGGAAGCCUUGACUUCCACUGAGAAGAUAGUGGCGAAACGGGUGAGUAACACGUGGGGUAACCUGCCCAUAAGAGGGGGGAUAACAUCCGGAAACGGGUGCUAAUACCGCAUAGUUUUCUUGAUCGCAUGAUCGGGAAAGGAAAGACGGCCUUUGUACUGUCGCUUAUGGAUGGACCCGCGGCGUAUUAGUUAGUUGGUGAGGUAACGGCUCACCAAGACGAUGAUACGUAGCCGACCUGAGAGGGUGAUCGGCCACAUUGGGACUGAGACACGGCCCAAACUCCUACGGGGAGGCAGCAGUAGGGAAUCUUCCGCAAUGGACGAAAGUCUGACGGAGCAACGCCGCGUGAGUGAAGAAGGGUUUUUUCCGGAUCGUAAAACUCUGUUGUCAGAGAAGAACAAGUUGGAGAGUAACUGCUCCAGCCUUGACGGUAUCUGACCAGAAAGCCACGGCUAACUACGUGCCAGCAGCCGC
rnacentral:rRNA from 1 species